rnacentral:rRNA from 1 species
CCUACGGGAGGCUGCAGUCGAGAAUUUUUGGCAAUGGGGGAAACCCUGACCAAGCGAUGCCGCGUGCGGGAUGAAGGCCUUCGGGUUGUAAACCGCUGUCAUGAGAGAGUUCUAUCCGCAGAGGAAGUGUGGGCUAAGCUCGUGCCAGCAGCCGCGGUAAGACGAGCCACACAAACGUUAUUCGGAAUUACUGGGCUUAAAGGGUGCGUAGGCUGCGCGGAAAGUUGGGUGUGAAAUACCUCGGCUCAACCGAGGAACUGCGCCCAAAACUACCGUGCUCGAGGAAGAUAGAGGUGAGCGGAACUUACGGUGGAGCGGUGAAAUGCGUUGAUAUCGUAAGGAACACCCGUGGCGAAAGCGGCUCACUGGGUUUUCUGACGCUGAUGCACGAAAGCUAGGGGAGCAAACGGGAUUAGAUACCCUUGUAGUC